CACUGACCAAAGAUCACCGUGCUCACCUCCGGAGGCAUCAGGACAGCCUCGGAUCGCCGAAAAAGCACGCACAAACACAGAACAACAGCCAAAAAGGCUCCACAGGGUCGACACCGCAAAAACAGCGGAACGGGGCCUUCCCGACAGAAACCAAGGUGAGCACGAUGAUCAGAAACUUGCCAGGAUCAUCGUGCUCCCUUCCGUAGAGAUCGGGG
rnacentral:lncRNA from 1 species